UCGCGAAGUGUCGCGCGGCGCGGCCGGAGCUGGGCUGGGGCCCGGGCCGAGCCCGGCGGGGCUGAGGCGGCGGCCGUGGGGACGGGCAUGGGCGGCGGGCGCUGACCCCGCCCCGCCAUGGACGAGGACGGCAUGAAGGAGGACGGCAUGAAGGAGGAGGAGGAGGACGGCGGCGAGGCCAUGAUGGACGACCAGAACCACAACAACUGGGGCGCGGGCGUCUACGGGCGGUACCUGCUGGAGGAGCGGCUGCUGCCGCCGGCGGCGGGGCCGCCGCGCCCCGCGGGGCCCGAGCACAACGGCGGGGGGCUGCGGGGCUGCGAGCCGGCGGGCACGGCCGGCAGGGCGGGCGCGGCCGGGGCCAUCGCCGCCAUCAACAUCAGCGCCUCCACGUCCAAGUUCCUGAUGAAUGUUAUAACAAUUGAAGACUAUAAGAGCACAUAUUGGCCAAAGUUGGACAGUGCCAUAGAUCAGCUUUUAACUCAGAGUCCUGGUGACUACAUCCCUAUUUCCUAUGAACAAAUAUACAGCUGUGUGUAUAAGUGUGUAUGCCAGCAGCAUUCGGAGCAGAUGUAUAGUGACCUAAUAAAAAAGAUAACUAACCACUUAGAGAGAGUCUCAAAGGAGCUGCAGGCCAGCCCUCCAGAUCUCUAUAUUGAAAGAUUUAACAUAGCUCUUGGACAGUAUAUGGGAGCAUUGCAGAGCAUUGUGCCUCUUUUCAUAUAUAUGAAUAAAUUUUACAUAGAAACCAAGCUUAACAGAGACUUAAAAGAUGACCUUAUAAAGCUGUUUACGGAACACGUUGCAGAAAAGCACAUUUACAACCUAAUGCCUUUACUUUUGGAAGCUCAGUCAACACCGUUUCAAAUAACUCCUUCAACCAUGGCAAAUAUUGUGAAAGGCCUGUAUACACUACGACCAGAAUGGGUACAGAUGGCACCAGCUUUAUUUUCUAAAUUCAUCCCAAAUGUUCUCCCCCCUGCUGUGGAAUCUGAGCUUCAGGAAUAUGCUGCUCAAGACCAGAAACUUCAAAGAGAGCUUAUUCAGAAUGGAUUUACAAGAGGUGACCAGUCACGCAAGAGACCUGGAGAAGAGCUUUACAUGUAGGAGAAGAGACACAGAAAGGAGUUGGUUGCUCUACUCCAGGCAACCCUAAUUUGGGUGUAGUCGGUCAGAGGUCUCAUCUCAUCAGUCUUCUGCUCACCUUCUGUGCUGACUAAGCAUUUGGCCAGGAAAGACUAGUCCUGUACAGUCUAGGUGGCUCAUCAGCUUGUGCAAGCUCCAGGGGAUACAGAUAGUGAAUAUACUGGAUCAGCUUCUAUUCCCAGCCAGAACAGACACUGGAGGAGCACAGAUGGUAUCUGGAGCCUCCUUUGGCAACUGCUGAUACUCAAGCUCUGACAUGAACUUUGCCUCAGAGGAGAGUUUUGGACUUUCUUCUUUGUACAACGUCAGUUGCUGCUACAGUUGGGGUGACUUUGAAAGACAUGAUUCCUUGGUCUGGCCUAUCAACAAGUUCAUGUUCUGUGACUUCUGUGAGGAAUGCACCUUGAAAAACAAUCCUUUCAAAGUGGAAGUGGGCAGCCGAAAUCAGCAGCUUCCAAAAGCAUUAGAAUGGAAGAAUCCUUUUUGCACUCUUUUCUUAAUAUUAAGGACAUUCUUAAAACUAGUUAACACGUCAGUGUAUUAGUUUUUGAACUUCCAAGUUAUUUUCUGGAGCUUCUACUUAAUAAUAAGAAUAAAGUUACGUUAUUUUGCAGUAUUUGUUUGUUAGUUUAAAAAUUGUCACCUUUUAAGAGUUGGUCCCUUUGUCACCGAAAAUUGGGAAAUAAACUCUCCAACCAAUUUGUAGGUUAGAAAGCCAACAUCCCUGUAUUACCAGUGCUGGGUGCAUGGGGAUUGCUCCACAAAGCAUGCAUACCAGCAACCUAACAGACCAGCUUAUGUUCAUGGAACUAAUGCAUAUUCAUCACAUUUCUAUUACAUAUUCAUUACAUUUCCUGAAUACAUCCAUAUAUGCUAAUUAUUUCCGUGGACUUAUUUGGAUGUGGUUCCAGAUCUUCUAAUGAAUCUUUUCUCCUUGAGAAUAUCUCAAAUAUGUGGUCAGGUUAUAAUGUGCUUCUCUUAUAAUUUUUUGCUCUGACACACAAUCCUUGUUCUCAAAAGUUAAGACAUCUGCUAGUUCAUAUUGAUCACUGAUACAGGUAAAUAAGGAAGCAAUAGCUGGCACAAGACUAUUAAUCAUAGAUGUAGGGAUCAAACACUGUUUUACUGAGGUUAAAAGAAUUUUCCAACAUCUUUCCCCACUGCUGCAUAGACUCCUUUUAUAAAAAAAAUAUAACUUGUUCAGUAACACCAUGUAAAUGUAUCUUCUGUCAGGGAGUUUUCGAUUCCAGAUUUUUGGUUUAUCUCUUGUUUUGUUACUUGGUAUUUUGAAGUCUGUUUUCCUAUGUGUUUGUACUCUGUGCCUUCAGCUUGAGCACUUUGCGACUUUAUAGACCAUAUUUUGUUACUGCAAAAUGUGUUCUUGAGGAAAAACUUGAUGUGAACGAACAUGCUGCAAAGUUGCACUUUUCUCUUGCAUUAAAUAGGAAGUGAAUUUAAGGAGGAAGGAAGAAAAGUUGAACCUAUCACCAUCACUAAUAGUGACUUGGAAGUUUGUCCCCUUUUAUGUUUCAUCUGUAUUAGUGUUUAAUGCAGGGACCAACUCUUGUAGAACCCCCUUCACUGACUUUUCAUUGGCUUCAAGAGUUGGACUGGUGGGUCCCUUCCAGCUCAGAAUAUUCUGUGCUUCCACAGUUGCAAUAGGUGGAGAUGGGAAUUCCAGACUGAAUGAAAUACUAAGAUAUGGUUUGUGCUGUGCUUUGUAGAAACACUGUGGGCAAAAUUCUCCAGUCUGGGAGGUCUGCAAAGGGCAUCUCCCUGAGCACCAGAUUUGCACUGGGUUGAUCAGCAAACUAUGGUACCUGUCCAAGGUCACUGUGUGGCUCCUGUGCCACCUCCCCUGUGUGGGGAGGAGCUGUGCUGGGGCUGGGGCAGUGGGUGCAGCCAGAAUCAGGGAUUUGAGGAGUGCUGUAACGUGUGCAUGUGUACCCAUCGGCCUCCUGCCUCCAGGCUUGUGGGAACUCGGCUGGACAUCCAGCUGGACACAAUUCCAGGAGAUCAGGCCUAUGGUCUGUGUCCUAAUCAUUGUGAUGUAGGUUUUAAUCAGUAGUGUGGCUAAUGCAGCUCUCUCAUUAGGGGAUCAACAUACUUGAAAAGCAGCUUGAUUACAGGGUUUGGGUUUUUUUCAUUACUAUGGAUUUAUUUUUUUAUCACCUUUAGUUAUGAAGAGAAACGAGUUGGUAAUACAAGAUCUUUCUGAAGCGAAAUAAAAGUUUGUUCUGUUUUGUCUGGCACAACUCUUAUGCCUGUUUAAAGAAAAACAAAAUACCAACACAGCUCCUUUUAUGCUUGCAUGGGUUCAUUACAAAAUGCAGGGAAAAAAAUAGGUGCGGCAGGGACAAAGUUUCAUUUUCUUUUUAUUUUUUUUUUUGUAUCCAGGCUUCCUGUAAGUGAAUUUAAUUCCAUCAGUGUCACAUCAUCCACUUUGGCAAUGCUGUUAAUUUUGAGGGUGGGGGGGAAAGAGGAACGAAGAUGACACUGCUGGGAUUGACAGACUCAAAUCUGGUUUACAUAUAUAUUUCUUGGCAUAUUUGCAAAGCCUGUUUGAUUUUGAGGAAGUUUUUGUUUCAAAAUUAAAAGCAAAUGCUUUUAGUGUUUUUAUUUCUGUGUAGCAGAAUGCCAGCAGUCUGAUCUCAUCCCCAGGAGUGGAAAACCAAACCACUCUGAGUAGGGAUUUUCAGGUGUUGAUAGUGUUUGCUUCAACUUUGCUACCAGCUACUGAAGUUGGAGAAGAGUUAGAUAAAAUUUUGCUGAAUUAUGCUGUGGUGAAGUUAAUGAAGGCUAAUGGGGAACAAAAAUGAUUUGUCAGCUUCCAGGUCUUUUUAAGUUUUGGCUUUAAACAAAAAUGAAACCUCUGAUAGUGUCCUUAGCUUUAAAAAUCACUGUCUGCUGAAAUGGCAAUAUUCUUGAGGUAAGAAUAGAUGCAUUAACCUAAUUUGGUUAAAGUUUGUUUACAACUUGGUUGCCAUCCUAGCUCACAUAAUACAGUGACCAAGCUCUGUCAUCUUUGUCAGGUGAUCACACUUUUUCUGUUCCUAAAAUGGUUUUACUGGUUCAGGUUUGUAAAUAACAUGUAGUGCUUUUGCUUCGUGUUUGAAGCAAGGGUUUAACAAUCAUUUUACAGCAUCUUAUUUCUGGGACAAACUUCUAGAACAAUCAUUCCAUCCGAAGGUAAAGCAUUCCUAUCAGCACUCUGUGUGCACUGAGUAGUGCUUGGAUGCUCCUCAGUCCUGUAGCAUUCUCACCACUGGCCACCUACCUGAGAAAUCUGUUUGUUAAGCUCUGUGUUAUGUUGUAAAUUUGGCAUUACAAUUCCUGUAUGGUUUGGCAUUAUCAACAUAAUGCUGAAAUAUUGUUUAUCUGUUGAAGACAUGAUCAUUGUGACUGAGCAUGGAACAGAAUACAGCAUACUAUACUAAAUUAUUUUGGUUCUCUGUAAACUUGCAUUUUACUUACAGGUAAACUAACUCAGCCAACUUGAGCAUUGGUACUGUAAAGCCACAAUUACCAACAGCAUGAUCCUAACUGCAGUAUUUAAUUUAACCAAAUAACUUGUGGUGAAUCCAUUGCAUCUGUAGCUUACUCUGUUAAGAUUAAGCAGUAAAGUUGGUUAUACAAUGGGUGUCCUCUCUAUGUUGCACUGGUUCUACAACCAAACUUGCUGCAUUAAAAUAUUUUUAGAUUAA